rnacentral:tRNA from 1 species
GCCUGGGUGGCUCAGUUGUUGAGCGUCUGCCUUUGACUCAGGCAUGAUCCUGGAGUCGCAGGAUGGAGUCCUGCAUCAGGUU